UCUUGCAAACUAAAGAUGGCGACCGGCGCACGGGUGAGUAACACGUAUCCAACCUGCCGAUAACUCGGGGAUAGCCUUUCGAAAGAAAGAUUAAUAUCCGAUAGUAUAUUAAAACCGCAUGGUUUUACUAUUAAAGAAUUUCGGUUAUCGAUGGGGAUGCGUUCCAUUAGUUUGUUGGCGGGGUAACGGCCCACCAAGACUACGAUGGAUAGGGGUUCUGAGAGGAAGGUCCCCCACAUUGGUACUGAGACACGGACCAA
rnacentral:rRNA from 1 species